CAUGCAAGUCGAGGGGCAGCAUCAUCAAAGCUUGCUUUGAUGGAUGGCGACCGGCGCACGGGUGAGUAACACGUAUCCAACCUGCCGACAACACUGGGAUAGCCUUUCGAAAGAAAGAUUAAUACCGGAUGGCAUAAUUAUUCCGCAUGGGAUAAUUAUUAAAGAAUUUCGGUUGUCGAUGGGGAUGCGUUCCAUUAGGCAGUUGGCGGGGUAACGGCCCACCAAACCUACGAUGGAUAGGGGUUCUGGAAGGAAGGUCCCCCACAUUGGGACUGAGACACGGUCCAAACUCCUACGGGAGGCAGCAGUGAGGAAUAUUGGUCAAUGGACGAGAGUCUGAACCAGCCAAGUAGCGUGAAGGAUGACUGCCCUAUGGGUUGUAAACUUCUUUUAUACGGGAAUAAAGUUAGCCACGUGUGGCUUUUUGUAUGUACCGUAUGAAUAAGGAUCGGCUAACUCCGUGCCAGCAGCCGCGGUAAUACGGAGGAUCCGAGCGUUAUCCGGAUUUAUUGGGUUUAAAGGGAGCGUA
rnacentral:rRNA from 1 species